GCCGCGGUGAUGGAAUGGUAGACAUGAGAGACUCAAAAUCUCUUGGGCAUUAGCCCGUGCUGGUUCAAGUCCAGUCCGCGGUACCA
rnacentral:tRNA from 1 species